UACGUAGGGGGCAAGCGUUGUCCGGAUUUAUUGGGUUAAAGGGGGCGUAGGCGGUCUUAUAAGUCAGUGCUGAAAUAUCCCGGCUUAACCGGGAGGGUGGCAUUGAUACUGUAGGACUUGAGUAGAGUUGAGGUUAGCGGAAUUGACGGUGUAGCGGUGAAAUGCUUAGAUAUCGUCAAGAACACCGAUAGUGAAGACAGCUAACUAAGCUCUAACUGACGCUGAGGCACGAAAGUGUGGGGAUCAAACAGG
rnacentral:rRNA from 1 species